GACGAACGCUGGCGGCGUGCUUAACACAUGCAAGUCGAACGGUAAGGCCCUUCGGGGUACACGAGUGGCGAACGGGUGAGUAACACGUGGGUGAUCUGCCCUGCACUUCGGGAUAAGCCUGGGAAACUGGGUCUAAUACCGGAUAGGACUCCUGCCUGCAUGGGUGGGGGUGGAAAGCUUUUGCGGUGUGGGAUGGGCCCGCGGCCUAUCAGCUUGUUGGUGGGGCGAUGGCCUACCAAGGCGACGACGGGUAGCCGGCCUGAGAGGGUGACCGGCCACACUGGGACUGAGAUACGGCCCAGACUCCUACGGGAGGCAGCAGUAGGGAAUAUUGCGCAAUGGGCGCAAGCCUGAUGCAGCGACGCCGCGUGAGGGAUGACGGCCUUCGGGUUGUAAACCUCUUUCAGCACAGACGAAGCGCAAGUGACGGUAUGUGCAGAAGAAGGACCGGCCAACUACGUGCCAGCAGCCGCGGUAA
rnacentral:rRNA from 1 species